rnacentral:rRNA from 1 species
UACGUAGGUGGCAAGCGUUAUCCGGAUUUAUUGGGCGUAAAGGGAACGCAGGCGGUCUUUAAGUCUGAUGUGAAAGCCUUCGGCUUAACCGGAGUAGUGCAUUGGAAACUGGGAGACUUGAGUGCAGAAGAGGAGAGUGGAACUCCAUGUGUAGCGGUGAAAUGCGUAGAUAUAUGGAAGAACACCAGUGGCGAAAGCGGCUCUCUGGUCUGUAACUGACGCUGAGGUUCGAAAGCGUGGGUAGCAAACAGG